UACGAAGGGGGCUAGCGUUGCUCGGAAUUACUGGGCGUAAAGGGCGCGUAGGCGGACAUUUAAGUCAGGGGUGAAAUCCCAGAGCUCAACUCUGGAACUGCCUUUGAUACUGGAUGUCUUGAGUGUGAGAGAGGUAUGUGGAACUCCGAGUGUAGAGGUGAAAUUCGUAGAUAUUCGGAAGAACACCAGUGGCGAAGGCGACAUACUGGCUCAUUACUGGCGCUGAGGCGCGAAAGCGUGGGGAGCAAACAGG
rnacentral:rRNA from 1 species